ensembl:lncRNA
AUGAAUGCCGGGAAUCCAUGGGCAGGGAUUUGUAGGAAUUCCGACACGAUCCGUGUCCCAGGGAUUUGUAGGAAUUCCAGUGGGAUCCGUGGCUUAUGGAUUUGUAGGAAUUCCAGCAGGAUCCGUGGCUUAUGGAUUUGUAGGAAUUCCAACACGAUCCGUGUCCCAGGGAUUUGUAGGAAUUCCAGCGGGAUCUGUGGACAGGGAUUUGUAGGAAUUCCAGGAGGUUCCGUGUCCCAGGGAUUUGUAGGAAUUCCGGUGGGAUUUUUGGCACAGGGAUUUGUAGGAAUUCCGGCAGGAUCCAUGGACAGGGAUUUGUAGGAAUUCUGGCGGAAUCCGUGGACAGGGAUUUGUAGGAAUUCCGGUGGGAUCCGGAUCGGGAGGAUGAGCUGCACCUCGCACCGUCCGGCUCUGGCAUGGAUGAGCUCUGGGCCGGUUUCUUGGGAUUUUUCCGUGUCUUUCUGCUGGGAAUUGCUGGAGCUGGGCUGGAUCAGGAUGGAAUUGUCGCUCCCAGAGGGAUGAGGGAGGACGGGGUGUCCGGGCAGGGUGGCAGCGGCACCUGUGUGACACCGGGGUGACAUCGGGGUGACAUCAGGGUGACAUCCUCGGCAAGGUCAGGGCGGGCUCUGGCUCUGCCCCGGGGAGCCUGGGGAGAGGGAGGGGAGAGGAAAUAAUGAGAGAAUCUGGGGGAUAAAUGGAGAAUAUGGGGGAUAAAAGGAGAACUUAUAGGAUAAAUGGAGAAUCUGUGGGAUGAGGGAGAGAAUCUAUGGGAUAAACGGUGAAUCUGUGGAAAAAAUGGAGAAUGUGGGGGAUAAAUGCAGAAUGUGGGGGAUAAAUGGGAGAAUAUGAGGAAUAAGUGGAGAAUCUGUGGGAUAAAAUGGGAAUCUGUGGGAUAAAAUGGGAAUCUGUGGGAUAAAAUGGGAAUCUGUGGGAUAAAACGGGAACCUGUGGAAUGAGGGAAGGAAUCUGUGGGAUAAAUGGGGAAUGUGGGGGAUAAAUGGAGAAUCUGUGGGAUAAAUGGGGAAUCUGUGGGAUGAGGGAAGGAAUCUGUGGGAUAAAUGGGGAAUAUGUGGGAUAAAUGGGAGAGUCUGCAGGACAAAAGUUAGAAUCUGUGGGAUAAAUGGGAGAAUCUGUGGGAUGAGGGAAUCUGAGGGGCAAAUGCAGAAUCUGGAGGAUGAAUGGAGAAUCUGAGGGACAAAUGGAGAAUCUGUGGGAUGAAGGGAGAAUCUGUGGACAAAUGGGAGAAUCUGUGGGAUGAAGGGAGAAUCUGUGGGACAAAUGGGAGAAUCUGUGGGAUAAAUGGGAGAAUCUGUGGGACGAAUGUAGAAUCUGUGG